rnacentral:rRNA from 1 species
UGGGGAAUUUUGGACAAUGGGCGCAAGCCUGAUCCAGCCAUGCCGCGUGCAGGAUGAAGGCCUUCGGGUUGUAAACUGCUUUUGUACGGAACGAAAAGGUGCCUUCUAAUAAAGGGCGCUCAUGACGGUACCGUAAGAAUAAGCACCGGCUAACUACGUGCCAGCAGCCGCGGUAAUACGUAGGGUGCGAGCGUUAAUCGGAAUUACUGGGCGUAAAGCGUGCGCAGGCGGUUUUGUAAGACAGAGGUGAAAUCCCCGGGCUCAACCUGGGAACUGCCUUUGUGACUGCAAGGCUGGAGUGCGGCAGAGGGGGAUGGAAUUCCGCGUGUAGCAGUGAAAUGCGUAGAUAUGCGGAGGAACACCGAUGGCGAAGGCAAUCCCCUGGGCCUGCACUGACGCUCAUGCGCGAAAGCGUGGGGAGCAAACA